rnacentral:lncRNA from 1 species
UCUGGAUUUUUAGCGCAUGCUGAAAGACUGGAUAUCAGUUACUGUCCGCUCCUGCCUCGCGUGCCGAAAGGUGCAAAAAAAAAUCGUCUCAAGGAUAUAAACAGAUGGGGAAACUCCAGCAAUUCGGCGUUUCCUCUGCGAGUAAGUGACGCGUCUUUUAGCCUUGGAUCUUGUUUGGAGUUGUUCAGCGCUCAACCGUGGAUCCGCUGCGUCCGCAGUCAGUCCCGCACACCGUUCACAGCGCAGUGGCUCGCGAUCCAUCACCUCCACUCCCACCGAGCUGCUAAACCCCGCCCUAUUCCGAAACGGACCAAUCAACGCGCACGUUCAGGGCGAAUUCGCAACAUGGUGUCCCUCCGUGUACGACGAGUUUCAGAGAAGUUCAGCUGGGAGACUAAUGCAUUUACAAAAACCUAUAAAGUAGGGGACAGAUGUCACCGAUUGAGCCAGCCCCCCUCCCACUGCCCCGCCUCUUCCCUUCCCUAUCAAAGGCCUGGGAGUGCCGGAGUACACAUCAAUCAUUCUGAGUGACAGGUAGGAGUGUGUGUGACAUUGUGGGAACAUGUAUAGUGUGUGUUAUAGUGUGUUUAAACACAAGAAUUCCUCUGUCCAGAUAAAGGCACUUUAUCUGCUGCUGUCUGCCUGGUCAGACAUUAUUUACUACUGCCCAUCCCCGCACACAAAAUUGCUCUUCUCGCUCCCUCAUUCUUUUUUAAAGUCUCUUUUUUCCCUUCCCUGUGUAUCUUGUUUUUUAGGCCUACGUUAAAAUGCACUUUUGCUUGAUAAAUGCUUUCUUGUCAAAGGACUAUGGAUGGAUAUCUAUUGCUUUGUUUUGAAUUCAUCAAUACCUCACCCAUGGACGUCUGAUGGAAUCAUUCAUACAUGCACUUCUAUUUGUAAUUUUAUGAAGUUCAGAAAUUUUAGGUCAUAAAUACUUUUUAUCUGAGAACCCAUACAUUUCUGCUUAACUGGCCAAAUGUAGAAUUUUUUUUAAUUUAGUGAACAGUUUAACUGUCUAACACAGAUUAAAAACUAUUACAUAUGAAUGUCAUGUAAACAUAUUUAGAGCAAAAGUCACUUUGAAGUUGUGUUAGUCUUUAAAUAAAGUGCCCAGUGACUGCUGGGAGAUGUUAACAGACUGCUUCAGGCAACUACGGAUGUUAACAAUCUACUUUUAAGUAAUGCCAGUUAGCAAAGAGACAAUAUGAAAAUGUCAUUUCUCAUAGAUGUCAUCAAAUGAUUUGUGUCAGUUUUUGGCAUUUUAGCUUUCAUCAUCCUACUUAAGAUUUGUUGGAUGGUGUGUUUGACCUGCAAAGGGCGAUUCUAAGCACAUAUGGGUAUUUAUAUCCAUCCAAUCAAUGGUAGCGGAAAGUUAAAGGAAAGCAGCAAUCUGACUAGUUUCCUUCCCGUGA